rnacentral:lncRNA from 1 species
UGGAUGAAGCGCACAUAUCAAGGAUAUUCCACUAAUUUCAUGGAGUAUAGAAGCCAAAACUUUAACCAAAAUAGAAUAUAUGAAACCGCAAAUGGAUUUUUGCCCGUCAUGCGAUAAUCCAAGUAGACAGAUCAUUUUCAUAAUUUAAUAAGGAAUGAAUACGAAGGAUCAUUCACCAUGAAUGCGGUAUUCCACAUAGACAUGUUAUUCCAACAGAAUAAUACAUAAUUGAAUAACAG